AAAUGCGAUAAGUAGUGUGAAUUGCAGAAUUCAGUGAAUCAUCGAAUCUUUGAACGCACAUUGCGCCCCUUGGUAUUCCAUGGGGCAUGCCUGUUCGAGCGUCAUUUGUACCCUCAAGCUCUGCUUGGUGUUGGGUGUUUGUCCCCGUCUCCGCGCGUGGACUCGCCCCAAAGUGAUUGGCAGCCGGCGUACUGGUCCCGGAGCGCAGCACAUGUCGCGCAAACGAGUGCCUUGGUACGGCGGCGUCCAUAAGCCCCUCUCUCACGCUCUUGACCUCGGAUCAGGUAGGGAUACCCGCUGAAGUUAAGC
rnacentral:misc_RNA from 1 species